rnacentral:pre_miRNA from 1 species
UAAACUCAAAUUUGUAUGGAAUAGGAAUGUUUGCCUGCGUUUGCCGCUAGGGGCGCUGAUCCAACUCCAUACAAAUUAGAGUUA